rnacentral:rRNA from 1 species
AGUGGCGAACGGGUGAGUAACACGUGAGUAACCUGCCCUUGACUCUGGGAUAAGCGUUGGAAACGACGUCUAAUACCGGAUAUGACCCUCGCCGGCAUCGGCUGGGGGUGGAAAGAAUUUUGGUCAAGGAUGGACUCGCGGCCUAUCAGGUAGUUGGUGAGGUAAAGGCUCACCAAGCCGACGACGGGUAGCCGGCCUGAGAGGGUGACCGGCCACACUGGGACUGAGACACGGCCCAGACUCCUACGGGAGGCAGCAGUGGGGAAUAUUGCACAAUGGGCGAAAGCCUGAUGCAGCAACGCCGCGUGAGGGACGACGGCCUUCGGGUUGUAAACCUCUUUUAGUUGGGAAGAAGGGAGCUUGCUCUUGACGGUACCAGCAGAAAAAGCACCGGCUAACUACGUGCCAGCAGCCGCGGUAAUACGUAGGGUGCAAGCGUUGUCCGGAAUUAUUGGGCGUAAAGAGCUCGUAGGCGGUUUGUCGCGUCUGCUGUGAAAUCCCGAGGCUCAACCUCGGGUCUGCAGUGGGUACGGGCAGACUAGAGUGCGGUAGGGGAGAUUGGAAUUCCUGGUGUAGCGGUGGAAUGCGCAGAUAUCAGGAGGAACACCGAUGGCGAAGGCAGAUCUCUGGGCCGUAACUGACGCUGAGGAGCGAAAGCAUGGGGAGCGAACAGGAUUAGAUACCCUGGUAGUCCAUGCCGUAAACGUUGGGAACUAGAUGUAGGGGCCAUUCCACGGUUUCUGUGUCGCAGCUAACGCAUUAAGUUCCCCGCCUGGGGAGUACGGCCGCAAGGCUAAAACUCAAAGGAAUUGACGGGGGCCCGCACAAGCGGCGGAGCAUGCGGAUUAAUUCGAUGCAACGCGAAGAACCUUACCAAGGCUUGACAUA